rnacentral:rRNA from 1 species
AGUGAACGCUGGCGGUAGGCCUAACACAUGCAAGUCGAACGGCAGCACAGUAGGAGCUUGCUCUUACGGGUGGCGAGUGGCGGACGGGUGAGGAAUACAUCGGAAUCUACUUUUUCGUGGGGGAUAACGUAGGGAAACUUACGCUAAUACCGCAUACGACCUACGGGUGAAAGCAGGGGAUCUUCGGACCUUGCGCGAUUGAAUGAGCCGAUGUCGGAUUAGCCAGUUGGCGGGGUAAAGGCCCACCAAGGCGACGAUCCGUAGCUGGUCUGAGAGGAUGAUCAGCCACACUGGAACUGAGACACGGUCCAGACUCCUACGGGAGGCAGCAGUGGGGAAUAUUGGACAAUGGGCGCAAGCCUGAUCCAGCCAUACCGCGUGGGUGAAGAAGGCCUUCGGGUUGUAAAGCCCUUUUGUUGGGAAAGAAAAGCAGCAGGUUAAUACCCCGCUGUUCUGACGGUACCCAAAGAAUAAGCACCGGCUAACUUCGUG